AUUGAACGCUGGCGGCAGGCCUAACACAUGCAAGUCGAACGAGUGGCGGACGGGUGAGUAAUAUCUGGGAAACUGCCUGAUGGCGGGGGAUAACUACUGGAAACGGUAGCUAAUACCGCAUACCAUCGGAUGUGCCCAUAUGGGAUUAGCUAGUAGGUGGGGUAAAGGCUCACCUAGGCGACGAUCCCUAGCUGGUCUGAGAGGAUGACCAGCCACACUGGAACUGAGACACGGUCCAGACUCCUACGGGAGGCAGCAGUGGGGAAUUUGGCACAAUGGGCGAAAGCCUGAUCCAGCCAUGCCGCGUGUAUGAAGAAGGCCUUCGGGUUGUAAAGUACUUUCAGCGGGGAGGCGUUACCCGCAGAAGAAGCACCGGCUAACUCCGUGCCAGCAGCCGCGGUAAUUC
rnacentral:rRNA from 1 species